CAGUGAAAGUGGAAGAGAAAGAGUGGGAGGAAUGAGAGGCAAGAAGCAGCGGGUAGCACUUUUCUCUGUAUCAAAGAGACAUGAAACUAGAACUUCCAGGUUCCCAAGACCCAACAUUGAAUUCAAUCAGAGGUAAACAUUCUGGACUAUUGGAUUAAAUGAGGAGGCAGGAGCUACUAUCUCUUGCAGGUGGGUAGCCAACAAAGUAAUUUCAACAGAACAGCAAUUGGUCCUCUGGUCACUUGGGAAACUCAGAAUUAACUGAAUGGGCAU
rnacentral:lncRNA from 1 species